CUCCGCGUGUUCCUGGGACCUGUCUUCCCUUCCUGCCCAGCCACAGAAGAGCAUGGUCCUGUUUUUGACAAAGCCUCACUGUUUGGUUGGUACCAGCCUCUGUUUUCACAAGUAACAGUU
ensembl:snoRNA LOC120097976 small nucleolar RNA SNORA24